CGAACGACUUCCCUUGGGCUUAGCUGUUUAGUUGUUCUUAAAAGUGUCUUAUACACUUUUCGCGAGUCUACUCUAGCGUCACUUCCUUUCAGACGGGGUACAGCGGAGUUAUCUGGAAUAGGAUGGAAUAGCCUCCUGCCUGGCUUACCUUGGCGAAAUCUGUCCGAUCUUCUCUACCAAAUCUAUUAGUAUUUGCCGUUAGUCCUGUUAAUAGCACUAUUCGCUUUCAGAUAACAUGGACGUUCCUGGGCCUUCUGAAGACAUCGUAUUUUUUUAUAUUUAUUGCAUUGAUUUGAAAUUUCAUUCGUUUUCUUGUAUUUUUGUUUUCUUGUGUUUCUCUUACAGGUAUUUGGUUUUUACUUUAUAAACUGUUGUUAAAUUAAACCUAACUUAGAUCGAUGGUUAAAACUUUUCUAAAUUAUUUUUUUUUGACAUAAUUAUUAAGACCAAAUUAAAUUUUUAUUAGCUUUUCAUAAUUUAUAUUCAUUUGGGCGGAUAGGGUGGCUAUAAGGGGAGAUGUGGAGGCCACAGAGGGUUAGGGGAGUUUUUUCGCCCCUAACAUAGUGUUUGAAUAUUGAUAUAACAGUUUAUAAAUUAUUGACUACCAUCUGGAGUUGAUUCACGUUGAUCUUCGUUCGGAUUCGAAAAUGAAAAAUUUCUAAACAUCAGAAGUGCCCCCCUGCAUCAGCUCCAGUUCCCGGAAGUCGACAAAGAACCCAACAUCAUUUUGAUAGUAUGUACAUAUAAUAGGUAUAAGGCAGUAAAAAGUAACUUGAACGAAUGUAAAAAUAUAUUGUUAUGUGAAAAUGUGGAAGUUUUAAUUUUAAAUAGGGUUUGUUUUACACUAAAAUUAGAAUAGUACGUUUAAUUCAGUUAUGUUUUGCUAUAUAUGUAUUAUGUUUCUUAAAACUGCAUCAUGGUUCAUUGUAUGUACCGAAAGGAACUAAUUUUUUGUAUUUGUUAAUAACUUUAAACAUUUUACGUUAAAAUGCAAAAGACAUUCUUUUACAGUGAAAAUAAUAGUUAAUGUUUCAUUACUUUUAUUGUGUUCUCCUAGUACCUAAUCUGAUUAUUGUAAAGUGCCCAUAUUUCAUAAAUGUGGGUACUUAAUUAAUUAAUAAUUAUGUAAUUUUUAAUAUACAUAUCUUAAUUAGUUAUCGAUAAGUGGAUCUGUAAUGGUUUUUGACAACCAGUAAGUGAUGGAUUGUAAUUUUAGUACAGUUUCAGAUUUUCAGUAUUGUUUGCUCUUUGAAAUAUUGUAAAAUUGCACAGGUCAACUGAAGCAGGAGUUAACGAUGGAAAAUGCAAAAGGGUAAUCAUUUCCGAAGUAUUUUGGUCUGGUCUGAUCCCAGAAUUACUCUUGCAAAUCAUAAUUUUCAUCUUAAAAUCCAAAUGAUGGUAAUUUGACUUCUUCAGUUUUGGUAUUAAGAGAUGUCAAAAUGUCAGUGUGCUAGAGCUCACCCUUUUUUCUUAAAACCCUUUCAUUCUCGAAAAAGAAGAUUCAGCAAAAAGGGGGAACUCGAAUCUAGUGAAAUUUUGAGAUUUUGUAAUCUUAAAAUUCAAAUAAUGGUAAUUUGACUUCUUCAGUUUUGAAAAUAGGAGAUCUCAAAAAGUCAAAGUGCUAGAGAGACCUCAGAAUUGCCCUAGCACUUUCAAAUUUUGAGAUUUCGUAAUCUUGAAACUGAAAAAGCCAAAUUGGUGGCAUCAUUUGGAUUUUGAGGUCAAUAUGUUUCAAAAUCAUGAUGUGCAAGGGUCAUUUUGAGUACAGAUUCUAAUUCAGCAAUAAAAUACCUCGAAAAUGACUACCCUCUUAGUUAUUUUUGCUUAGAAAAAGACCAAAAAUUGCAUUCUUUGGACUUUUACAUAAAAAUAACUCAAAAUCCUGACUUAUUAAAACAAUUCUAAAGCCAAAUUCAAACUAUCUGUGUAUUCCUGAUUUAUGUUGACUUACCUGUGUUAUUAAUUCUAAUUUUUUAUAAUAUUUAAGCAAAAAAAAGGAAAAUUUAUAUUAUUAGAUCACUAUUAACCAUCUCACCAUUUAUCGUAGUUAGUUUUGGUCCUUUGGACAAAUGAAAUAAUGGAAAAAAUGUAUUUGCUGACAUUGGUCAUUUAAUAAUUAAUUAAUUUUUGUUUAAGAGCCCUUAGCUGUGGCGAUAAUAUACAAUUAGUUAUUAUUCUUAAGAAAAGCUCAUGGUCUUUCAUACGAUACGUUUCAUAUUAAUAUUUGUUUGCUUUCAUGUACUUGCUAUCAAGAAAUAAUUAUUCAGGAAUGAAAUGUAUCUCUUAAACGAUCCUGCAUGAAUUUAUACAUAAUAAAUUGAAUUUUAUACAA